GCAGGUCCCACAAGGUGAGCAGAUCCAGGUGAGCAGGUCCAGAGGCACAGAUCCCACAAGGUGUGAGCAGGUCCAGGUGAGCAGGUCCCACAAGAUGAGCAGGUCCUGGGAGUGCUCAGGUGAGCAGAUCCAGAUGAGGAGGUCCCACAGUCUGUAGGGUCCAGGUGAGCAGGUCCCACAAGGUGAGGAGGUCCAGGUGAGCAGAUCCAGGGACACAGAUCCAGGUGAGCAGGUCCAGGGAGUGCUCAAGUGAG